rnacentral:rRNA from 1 species
UACGUAGGGUGCAAGCGUUAAUCGGAAUUACUGGGCGUAAAGCGUGCGCAGGCGGUGAUGUAAGACAGUUGUGAAAUCCCCGGGCUCAACCUGGGAACUGCAUCUGUGACUGCAUCGCUGGAGUGCGGCAGAGGGGGAUGGAAUUCCGCGUGUAGCAGUGAAAUGCGUAGAUAUGCGGAGGAACACCGAUGGCGAAGGCAAUCCCCUGGGCCAAUACUGACGCUCAUGCACGAAAGCGUGGGGAGCAAACAGG